rnacentral:snoRNA from 1 species
AAGUGAGAUGAUAUACCAUCUUUCAGGACUGACCUGAAAUGGAGAGAGCUCUUAAUUGCUGAGCACUU